UCUUUAUAGAUCGUACCGGACAUCGUGUUCAAGCUCGCGCUCAUUGUGGCGAGAGCCGCGCUUACAAGACCGGCUAAGAACAAACCUGGCAGCCCUGGCACGUUUCCUGCCACGUCCAUUACGUAAUAAGGUAUAUACAUCUAACGAAACAAUUGUCUCUAACCUUGGCGAGCAUAGGAUCGCAAUCGUAAUAUUUGGCGAAUAUGAUUAAUCCCGUGAAAACGGAAACGAGCUUAACGACGAUCAAACCCACGGCUGUUAUGCCCAGCGCUCUGUCAUGGAUGAACAAAACGUUUCGUGAUUUUUUUUUGUCCUUUAAAGGGGGAAGAUGUAAAAA